ACCCAACCUCGGACAGUGCAGGGCCGCCCGGGAGGUCUGCAUGAUUGGAAGUGGACCAUUAACCACUGACCCUCUGCUGGGCCCUGGGCCCAGAGGGGAGCGAAGGAGCCCCGAGGACACGGUGGAAAGGCACCUUACAGAACUGGGGACCCCACGCCCUCCUCAGGGAUCCAGUCCCCUGCCCCCUUCCUGGUCCUUAAAUAAAUAAGUAUAAAUAAGGCA